CAGCCAUCAUAUGAAGUAAAAUUUAAGAACAUCUUAAGCCUGGGCUGUUCAAAUUAAACUGAAGACAUGACUUUGUCCUUGAUGGAUGUACCAAAGCAAGUCUUUGAAACUUUUGGACUGAAAUAAGUAGCAGAUCAAACUUGUAGGAGUAACAGCUGUUACAAGGUGAUGGCAGAGACCUAGCUGCACGUUUCUCCCUUCUGAACACCUCUGAGCUAUAUUUUGGUGACUGACAGCAUGAGGAAGGCAGAAGAGAGCAGACGGGGGAGUCAGAGGGGCAGAAAUGCCUUUCUGGAAUACGCUAGGGCUAUAAAAUGAAUUUGACAUCUGCGGAAAGGAGAAGGGCAGCAAUAAAUUUGCUGUGCAUGCAUCAGUACUUCAGGUGUCUUCUUCAUGACUCAAAACACCGCAAACUUCAGUGCACCUUAAACUACCCUUUGGGCAUGGUGACACACAAUGUUCUGGGCCACCUGGAAACAGAAGCAUUACAAAGCAUCAGCAACCAUCUAUUACAUCUGACAUCAGUGAACUGCAACAAGAAAAGUGUUUGGGGAAGAAGGGAGAAGAGGAUGUUCUUAACAGAAGAUUUUGCGUCAAAGAUUAUGUCCUGCUUUUUUUCAUCAGCUGAAUUGUAAGUACAAAGUGAGGGUGGGCAUUUUAUUUUCAGCUGCAGUGUGUAUUCUUUAAAAAAGAAAGGAUAAGAAAGUCCUGUCAUUGUUCAGCCUACAAAGUCUGAUCAUCCCUAGCAAAAUUACAGGCUAAUCAAGG
rnacentral:lncRNA from 1 species